rnacentral:rRNA from 1 species
AUUAAUAAGCGGAGGAAAAGAAACCAACCGGGAUUCCCUUAGUAAGGGCGACUGAAACGGGAUCAGCCCAGCGCAUAACCUCGCGGUCCAUGGUUUGGCCGUCGAGGGGUGUUGCGUUUCGGUGGAUCCGUCCCGCCCGAGCCGCUUACCGCCUAAGUCAUUGCUUGAAAGCAGCCCCGUGGAGGGUGAUAGGCCCGUGUGGCGGCGCCUGUAAAAAGGGUGAAGGCGGUCCGGGCGGAGGGAUCUUCACUGUAGAGUCGGGUUGCUUAAUACUGCAGCCCUAAGCAGGUGGUAAACUCCAUCUAAGGCUAAAUACAAUCACGAGACCGAUAGAGCACAAGUACCGUGAGGGAAAGCUGAAAAGGACUUUGAAGAGAGAGUUCAAAAGGACGUGAAACCGUUAGAAGCUUAAACGGGUGGAACCGCGAAGGUCGAACGAGGGGAUUCAGCUCGUCGGGCCUCCGGCGUGCAGGUGGCGGCACAUUGCAGUUCACAUGAGAGGACCCGGCGCAAAAGGUGCAAAGCCGUGGCCCCGCGCCUGCCUCCGGAGUGCUUGGCGGGCUUACUUCUCCCUCUAGUAGGGUCGCCGCGACCCGUUGCUCAGACCCCCAGGGCCGUGCCGGAUUGGUAGCCUGGACCUCACGGUUCAGGUGACGACUGGCUGCGGUUCCGACGGGCCUGUGGCGACGGUCACUGCAAGGAGGCCGCUGGGAUCUGGCGUUCGCGCCGGAGACUGGCGCCGCCUCUCGCGGCGUGCAAUGGAUCGGUAAUCCACCCGACCC